ACGCUCGACACCUACGGGGGCAGCAGUGGGGAAUAUUGCACAAUGGGGGAAACCCUGAUGCAGCGAUGCCGCGUGAAGGAAGAAGUAUCUCGGUAUGUAAACUUCUAUCAGCAGGGAAGAAAAUGACGGUACCUGACUAAGAAGCCCCGGCUAACUACGUGCCAGCAGCCGCGGUAAUCUGAGCGGGCUGGCAAGGC
rnacentral:rRNA from 1 species